rnacentral:rRNA from 1 species
UACAGAGGGUGCAAGCGUUGUUCGGAAUCAUUGGGCGUAAAGCGCACGUAGGCGGCCGAUUAAGUCGGAUGUGAAAGCCCCGGGCUCAACCCGGGAAGUGCAUACGAAACUGGUCGGCUUGAAUAUGGAAGAGGGUCGCGGAAUUCCCGGUGUAGAGGUGAAAGUGCGCAGAUAUCAGGAGGAACACCGAUGGCGAAGGCAGGCUCGUCUGGGCCGAGUACCUGACGCUGAGG